rnacentral:rRNA from 1 species
UAACGUAGGGUGCAAGCGUUGUCCGGAAUUAUUGGGCGUAAAGAGCUCGUAGGCGGUCUGUCACGUCGGCUGUGAAAAUCCCGAGGCUCAACCUCGGGUCUGCAGUCGAUACGGGCAAACUAGAGUAUUGCAGGGGAGACUGGAAUUCCUGGUGUAGCGGUGAAAUGCGCAGAUAUCAGGAGGAACACCGGUGGCGAAGGCGGGUCUCUGGGCAAUAACUGACGCUGAGGAGCGAAAGCGUGGGGAGCGAACAGG